ensembl:lncRNA
AGUAACCUGGGACUAAAACAGGACUAAAAACAAGAGCAAUGGGAGCUUUAGAAACAGAAGACCAACCUGCACCAGUCAGUCCACUUAAACCCAAAAAACUGAAGACCUCCAAGGACGUUCACUUCAGCGUCCUGCCCGAUAAGUAUGAGCCUCUGGAGGAAGAACGCGAUGAAGAGGAGGUGAUGGAGGACACAAAGGAGAGACUGAGGAGGAAGGAGGAGAAGAAACGAAAGAAAAAGAUCAGAUACAAGAAGUACAGGAAGAACAUGGGUAAAGCACUGCGGUUCAGCUGGCGCUGUCUAAUUGCUGGAUUACAGAGUUUGGUUCCCGUUUAUAUGGGACCGAUGGCUGCUGCAUCUUCUGUCGUCACCACAGCCAACACUGGACCCACAGCACGAUGAGGUUCAA